AGCGAACGCUGGCGGCAGGCCUAACACAUGCAAGUCGAACGAACCUUUCGGGGUUAGUGGCGGACGGGGGAGUAACACGUGGGAACGUGCCUUUAGGUUCGGAAUAACUCAGGGAAACUUGUGCUAAUACCGAAUGGGCCCUUCGGGGGAAAGAUUUAUCGCCUUUAGAGCGGCCCGCGUCUGAUUAGCUAGUUGGUUGAGGUAAUGGCUCACCAAGGCGACGAUCAGUAGCUGGUCUGAGAGGAUGAUCAGCCACAUUGGGACUGAGACACGGCCCAAACUCCUACGGGAGGCAGCAGUGGGGAAUCUUGCGCAAUGGGCGAAAGCCUGACGCAGCCAUGCCGCGUGAAUGAUGAAGGUCUUAGGAUUGUAAAAUUCUUUCACCGGGGACGAUAAUGACGGUACCCGGAGAAGAAGCCCCGGCUAACUUCGUG
rnacentral:rRNA from 1 species